rnacentral:lncRNA from 1 species
CUGAAGUGAUCUGCCCACCUCGGCUUCCCAAAGUGCUGGGACUGCAGGUGUGAGCCACUGCGCCUGGCCCCUUCAGGUGGGUUUUGAGGCUUCACGUUGCUGCUGCAAUAAAUUACCACACACUUAGUGGCUUAAAACAGCACAGAGGUAUUCCCUUACAUUUCUGAAGGCCAGAAUUCUAAAAUCAGUCCCACUGAGUCAAGGUGGGAGCAGGGUCAGUGCCUUCCCAGGCUCUGCGGGAGAAUCUGUUUCCUGGCCCUGGAGGCGGCCUGUACUCCUUAGCUUGUGCUGCCCUUCUGGAAUGACUCGAGUUUCCUGCUUUCAUCACUACACCUCCCACCGCUCUCCAUCACCUGCUGUGCUCUUACGAGGAUCCAGCUGAGACAUGUUUUAGGAAGUUUGCUAAAAGACCCCUGGAGACGUCCUCAUUGUGGCCUCCCUGCUGUUGUGUUUAAUUUGGUUGAUCUUCUCUGCCCUCCUGCUUUUCAGAAUUAAAAGGCUAAAAAGAGUUUUCAGAGAAAUGGAAUAAUUGUAUUGCUGAUCUACGUAAACAAGUUGAAGAAUUGUCUGAAAGAAAAUAUGGUGUGUCUGAACUGGAAAAGUCCUGUGAUAGUUUGUUCAUGAGCAUUUACACAAUGGAGUUACUGUUCAUCAUGGGGGUACUGUGGACAAGCCCAGGGCUGCUGACAUAAUCUUAUGAAUUCAACACAUGAAGAUUUACAACUUGAUAAACCAGCUUCAGGAGAUCAGAACUUCUUACAAUACAACUGAUGUUACUCAGCCUAGAACAAAUACAACAGGGAUUGUGCUGCAUUCUGACUUAGGUUCUGCCAUCGAACACAGAAUGCCCUGAUCCUUAGAGGCAGAGGCAGCUCUUCAGCCUAUGGGAAAACUGUGGAUUUAGUUACUCCACUCUGCCAUGUCCUUCCACCACUGCCUGCACAUUUGAGACCAAGGAUAGAGAUUGGGAAAAAUCCAUAGUUCUCCUGACUCAGAGUUUGGCUCCGGCACUCUCAUUUCAGCCAUAGCUGCAGACAAAGCACACGACUGCUGGGCACUGUGGCUCAAGAGAAGGGGGAGAUGCAGGAAGAAGAUGAGCCUUAAGUCUGAACACUGAGGAAUUCAUGUGCAUCAGUCAGACCUCCUGUGCAAGGAAGGAUGUGGUUACUACGGCAACCCUGCCUGGCAGGGUUUCUGCUCCAAGUGCUGGAGGGAAGAGUACCACAAAGCCAGGCAGAAGGAGAUUCAGGAGGACUGGGAGCUGGCGGAGCGACUCCAGUGGGAGGAAGAGGCCUUUGCCAGCAGUCAGAGCAGCCAAGGGGCCCAAUCCCUCACAUUCUCCAAGUUUGAAGGAAAGAAAACCAACGAGAAGACCCACGAGGUUACCACAGUGAAGAAAUCUUCAGUGCGUCUUCCAGGGUCGGAUCAAAGAAGGCAGAAAUUCAGGAAGCAAAAGCCAGUCCUUCCAUAAACCGGCGAACCAGCAUUGAAACGGAUAGAGUGUCUAAGGAGUUCAUAGAAUUUCUCAAGACCUUCCACAAGACAGGCCAAGAAAUCUAUAAACAGACCAAGCUGUUUUUGGAAGGGAUGCAUUACAAAAGGUGCCUCCAGAAAGGGUUGAGAAGAUAAUGGAUCAGAUUGAAAAGUACAUCAUGACUCAUCUCUGUAAAUAUGCGUUCUGUCCAGAACCCCAGUGAGCCUGGAAGACUGGGUGCUAUGGGAAAUGUCAUCAAUCCAAUGCUAGUGAAAGAUGUGACUGGGGAAUGCUGAAAAAUGCGCACCCCUGGGAGGAAUGAGGAAAGAUGACAUCCACUGACUUGUUAUUUUUUUGAGAAGGAGUCUUGCUCUGUUGCCCAGGCUGGAGUGUGGUGGCACGAUCUCGGCUCACUGAUGAUGAGAAGAAAGAUCUUGCCAUUCAAAAGAGGAUCAGAGUGGAAGCUUCUCUGUGGUGUCAGAAAGACGAGGAAUGUGGUGACCUCACCUAUCCAUCUCCCUCAAGGCAGCUUUUGCUUAAGUUCUUGGACUCACUGAGGCAGUAAAAGAACCAUAUCCUGUGUUUGAAUCAAAUCCCAAGUUCCUGUACGUAGAAGGUUUGCCAGACAGGAUUCCCUUUCGAAGCCCUCCUGGUUUGGAAUUCCAUGACUUGAAAGGAUCGUCCAUGGGAGUAAUAAAAUCAAAUUUGUUGGUAAAAAACCUGAACUGGUUAUUUCCUACUUGCCUCCUGGAGUUGCUAAUAAAAUAAACACUAAAGCUUCGCAGUUUCUAAAAAGACCAUGAAGCCCUGAGAGUAAUGAAAAGGUUCCUGAAAUUGAGGUCACUGUGGAAGGAGAAUCUAAUGCCUGAUGAUCUGUCACUAUCUCCCAUCACCCCCAGAUGGGACCAUCUAGUUGCAGGAAAAGAAGGUCAAGACUCCCAGUCAUUCUACAUUAUGCCUCAGCCAAGAUGUCUCACCCCACUCUCUCUGAUGCAACAAGAAGCCCCUGGAGAACGUUUCAGUCCCAUUUUGUACUUCUGUCAUGUGCUCAUCACAGUCUGGUGGAAUUUAAAUGACCUCUUAUCAAGAUGGAUAAACCCAAGUUUCCCAGUGCUGGAAUAUAGAAAAUGGAUGGACAAGUAAGUCCCACUCAGCACCCAUAGCCCAGACAUGGGGACCUCAACACACCUGGGCCCCAGACAUCACCUUUCAUUCCGAGGCAUAUGCCAUUCAAGCUAAGGGUGCUACACUUGACCACUGCGGCAGUAUAGAUGAGUCUGAAGAAUGGUAUGGGAUGGAUACUUACGAAUGCACUCGAGCAGGGGUCUCCAUCCACAGGGCCACAGAGCCAGAGGUGAGCAGCAGCUGGAUCUACCAUGAAAGACUUCAGAGUCCAGGAAGAGAGACUGAUUGGGCAACAUGUUAUUCAGUUACAAAAAGACUUGGACUAUGACUCAAAAAUGAUCAAAUAAUAGUGCAUGCAUCCAAUGCAAUAAGAAGCACUUCUGGAGGGUGAGAGAAGCAUCCAGUUAAGGUGACAUUGAAGCUGGGUCCUGAAAGAUGAGGAAGAAUUGUAUGAGAGUGGGCAGAGAAGGGGGAGGUGGAGGGAUGGGGAAUGGGCUGAGAUGGAGUGAGCUGCUCAAGCAGGGAAACCAGCACUGUAAAGACCUGGUCAAUAAAGAUGGCACAUUUUAUUCAGGGAAUGGUGAAUUAAUUGUGGCAGGAAUGCUUUGGAGAGAGAGUAAUUUGCUUGUAUGGAAUUUUGCCCAAGAGACCUCAUUACAGUUUCUAAUCUUUUGAUGUUAUCGUCUAUCACUGUCCUUGUCAGAUAGUUUGGAAUAGGUAUAAUGAUCACAAUAACAUCAAGCAUAAUAUUUCAUUAAUUCUCACAAAAUCACAGGUAGGUGCCACAGUUAUCCCCAUUUUGUGAAUGAAGUGAUGAAGACUUAGGAAUGAUGAGUGAUUGCCCAAGCUCACCUGGAUAUUAAGAGGUCUUGCUCUGUUGUCCAGGCUGGAAUGUGGUAGUGCUAU